rnacentral:rRNA from 1 species
UUCGCCUGUUUAUUCAAAAACAUGUCUGUAUGUUUAAAUUAUAUAGAGUCUGGCCUGCCCACUGAUCGUUUUUAAGGGCCGCGGUAAUUUGACCGUGCGAAGGUAGCAUAAUCAGUAGCCUCUUAAUUGGAGGCUGGAAUGAAGGGUCGGACAAGGGGGAAGCUGUCUUUUUUACAGUUUUUGAAUUUUACUUUUAAGUGAAAAGGCUUAAAUAAUUUGGGGGGACGAUAAGACCCUAUAAAAUUUUACAAAAUCGGGGUUUUUUUCUGAAUUAAGGUGUAAAUUUUAUAAAUCCCUGUUUGUUGUGUUGGGGCGGCAAAGAUAAAAAUUAGUAACUGUCAUUUAAUUAGAAUAAUUAUAAUUAGUUUAAUUGAUCCUUUAUUAGAGAUUAAAAGAUUAAGUUACUUUAGGGAUAACAGCGUAAUUUUCCCUGAGAGUUCUUAUCGACGGGAGUAGUUGCGACCUCGAUGUUGAAUUAAGGUUUCUUUUAAGUGUAGCAGCUUAAUGAGUAGGUCUGUUCGACCUUAAAAACCUUACAUGAUUUGAGUUCAAACCGGUGUGAGCCAGGUGGGUUUCUAUCUA